ACCCAGAGCUGCACGAGGACGUCGCCGUCGCUCUGCGUAUCACGGAUGUAGGACAGGGCCUGGCUGAACCGCUCCCGCACGGAGGGGGUGCUCGCGCCGCCCGUCUGAAUCAACCAGCUGGCGUUCGCGGCCGGCGCCGCCGUCGUCGUCACUGUGGUGGCCGUCGCGUCAGCCGAGAAGAAGGCCGAGGGUGGAGGAAACGCUACCGAGUUGGGCGAGCGCGAGACCACCUCGAGCCAACCGUUGUCGCCGGACAGUAGCUGCUCAAGGAGAUCCAAGUCGACGGCCCCCGCGCCUUCGGACGUGGUGCGUGCCACGGAGAUGCUCGGAAGCUGCGGGUCUCCUCCCUCUUCCAUGCAGAUGCAGGUAACACUCUCUUCAGAACCUGCUCUACACAGUUCAUCGCGAACGCACUGCAUCAGUGGUAGCUAUGAUCUUGGUAACGCUAACAACAAAACUUGGGCAUGCAAGGCCACAGUGCUUCACUUCUGUUCUGCUGGAGAUCAAGAAGCAAGGCUCCAUGCACAUCUUGGGCUAGGAAACCAUGGGAAUCCUUGGGAGAAUUUUGUGCUAGGCAUGUUGCCUUCAGGUUGCAGGGUGUGGGAGAACACAUCAUUUUCAAUGGAAAGCAAGCAGCGAAAGAGAUUGAUAGUUAGGUAGCAAGCAGCUCACUGUUAAUCACACGCCUGACGCCUCCGUUCUUGUCAUCAAAAAGGCUCCCGUUCUCCUCUCUUCCUCCUGUGGAUUAGCUAGGUGCCAGCCUCCACCAGGUAGCUCGGUUCUGCUCACCUCAACUCACCCCCGGAAAUGGCUCGAUGCUCCACUGCAUCUAGUGGUCCUAGUGGAUCCUGCUGCGCUGCGAAACGGAAAGGAGAACAAAAAAAAUUGCUUGGCCGGGCUUCGCUUGGUGUUGCCCUUAUUUUUUGGCGUCGUCGUUACAACAAAGGAAUCCAAUCAUAGGUCCAUACCCGCUUGGCGCUUCCAUAUUUUCCAUAUAUAAAGUCAACUUGCAAGGGUGAUUCUGCAGCUUCAGAAGGAUUCCUUGUUCUUUACUUGGGGAGUUAUUCCAAGGCUCUUGUGAUCAAAGGUCAAUAAACUAGUAACAUAAUUGUGGUUUGGGUGGAGGUACAUGUGAUCUGGAUACCAAAGUCCAAAUGAAAGGUUAAUCAUAUGAUGGAGCAAUAAAUUUUUAUUCCCAAGGCUGUUCCAAAUUUAGGAACUGCUUUAAAUAUUUUCAAGACGUCACUUACUAUAUUAUUCCUCCCAUGUGAACAUGUUUCUGCGCCCUGAUCCCCUGAUCAGGGACAGGGAGGAACACGAUAAAAUAGUGCUUUGGUUCAUUAUUCCGUGACAUGUACAGGAAUCUUGACGCCUCUUUGUAAUGCUACAAGUCAGAACAGUACAGGUGUAGUAGUACUGUAAUACAAGUCUGCCUUUUUAUAUUGACUUUCAA